rnacentral:rRNA from 1 species
GACGAACGCUGGCGGCGUGCUUAACACAUGCAAGUCGAACGGAAAGGCCCCUUCGGGGGUACUCGAGUGGCGAACGGGUGAGUAACACGUGAGUAACCUGCCCUUGACUUCGGGAUAACUUCAGGAAACUGGGGCUAAUACCGGAUAGGAAUCCUUGCUGCAUGGUGGGGGUUGGAAAGCUUCGGCGGUUUUGGAUGGACUCGCGGCUUAUCAGCUUGUUGGUGGGGUAGUGGCUUACCAAGGCUUUGACGGGUAGCCGGCCUGAGAGGGCGACCGGCCACAUUGGGACUGAGAUACGGCCCAGACUCCUACGGGAGGCAGCAGUGGGGAAUAUUGCACAAUGGGCGGAAGCCUGAUGCAGCAACGCCGCGUGCGGGAUGACGGCCUUCGGGUUGUAAACCGCUUUCAGCAGGGGCGAAGCUUGUGGUGGCGGUACCUGCAGAAGAAGCACCGGCUAACUACGUG